rnacentral:rRNA from 1 species
AGUGGUGACGAUAGCAAAGAGGAUACACCUGUUCCCAUCCCGAACACAGUAGUUAAGCUCUUUAGCGCCGAUGGUAGUUGGGGGUUUCCCCCUGUGAGAGUAGGACGUUGCCAAGC